GAGGCCGACACGGGGUGCCCGCCGCGUCCGGAGCGCGGGCUGAGAUGAGACCCGUCGCACCUGAUCGAGCUCGCACUCGCGGAGGGAUGUCACCCAUGAGCCCU
rnacentral:ncRNA from 1 species